rfam:Punica granatum cultivar Dabenzi scaffold10, whole genome shotgun sequence.
UUCUCUGUGGAGACAUCUUAUAAAAUUGGAAUGAUACAAAGAAGAUUAGCAUGGCACCUGCAUAAGGAUGACAGGAUCAAAUCGAGGAAUUGUUCCCCGCUUUU